rnacentral:rRNA from 1 species
AUUGAACGCUGGCGGCAGGCCUAACACAUGCAAGUCGAGCGGCAGCGGGAAAGUAGCUUGCUACUUUUGCCGGCGAGCGGCGGACGGGUGAGUAAUGCCUGGGGAUCUGCCCAGUCGAGGGGGAUAACCAAUGGAAACGGUAGCUAAUACCGCAUACGCCCUACGGGGGACAGCAGGGGACCUUCGGGCCUUGAGGGAUUGGAUGAACCCAGGUGGGAUUAUCUAGUUGGUGAGGUAAUGGCUCACCAAGGCGACGAUCCCCAGCUGGUCUGAGAGGAUGGUCAGCCACACUGGAACUGAGACACGGUCCAGACUCCUACGGGAGGCAGCAGUGGGGAAUAUUGCACAAUGGGGGAAACCCUGAUGCAGCCAUGCCGCGUGCGUGAAGAAGGCCUUCGGGUUGUAAAGCACUUUCAGCGAGGAGGAAAGGUUGGUAGCUAAUAACUGCCAGCUGUGACGUUACUCGCAGAAUAAGCACCGGCUAACUCUGUGCCAGCAGCCGCAGUAAUAC